rnacentral:rRNA from 1 species
GACGAACGCUGGCGGCGUGCUUAACACAUGCAAGUCGAACGGAAAGGCCCUGCUUUUGUGGGGUGCUCGAGUGGCGAACGGGUGAGUAACACGUGAGUAACCUGCCCUUGACUUUGGGAUAACUUCAGGAAACUGGGGCUAAUACCGGAUAGGAGCUCCUGCUGCAUGGUGGGGGUUGGAAAGUUUCGGCGGUUGGGGAUGGACUCGCGGCUUAUCAGCUUGUUGGUGGGGUAGUGGCUUACCAAGGCUUUGACGGGUAGCCGGCCUGAGAGGGUGACCGGCCACAUUGGGACUGAGAUACGGCCCAGACUCCUACGGGAGGCAGCAGUGGGGAAUAUUACACAAUGGGCGGAAGCCUGAUGCAGCAACGCCGCGUGCGGGAUGACUGCCUUCGGGUUGUAAACCGCUUUCGCCUGUGACGAAGCGUGAGUGACGGUAAUGGGUAAAGAAGCACCGGCUAACUACGUG